CCUACUUCUCAGCCUACAGGCUAAAAUCAAAGUGUGGCAGCUGUCGUUUUCAGCUUAAUAUCUGAAAGCUCCCGCACUGCGGGACCAGUAGCUAGUCACUUCAGCAUACCGCAGUAUACUGCCGGACAUAGGCCAGACAUUAUAGCACGAACUCGUGUGUUUUGUGUACUUUGGGUACUAGGUAUAUUAAACUGAUUUUUGGAAAACAAUGGGAAGUUAGGGGCUCGCUCCACUUCCGUCACGGGUCGGACCGGCAUUUUUUUU
rnacentral:misc_RNA from 1 species